GAAGCUGAGGAUCAGAAAGUGGUUAAGUAACUUGCCCAGUGUCCCAAACUACUAAAUGGUGGAGCCAGAACUCAAACCCAGGACUGUCUGACUCCAGAGUCUGUGCUUCUAACCACUGAGCCACAUUGCCUCCUAGGCACGUAACUCCCAGGCCAGGUCCUUCUACUACAGCAGAUGCCUCACCAAACACUGCCAAGCACUGGAGAGAAAAUGCCAAAUAUCAGAUGCAGUCCAUGGAAACCACCACAGUGAAACACAGCAAAUCACAGGUGCUCUGGAGAAAUGGAGACCACACAGUGCACGGAGAGGAAGAGGCGGCCCAUUGGGGUGACUGAGGCAGGAGUUACAGAUAAAGAGAAGCUUCUGGGCGUGGCAUCGCUGGUCUCCAGAGAGCCUGGGUCCCCAACCCGGAUGACCAGCAGUGGUGACACUUGGCACAGAGAGGCCGCAGCGUCUGUGGCACUGCAGGAGGGCAGCAAUCCGAUGCCCAGGCGUCCAGGCAACGGGGAGGGCCCUGGGCCCAGUGAGUGCCUCCUUCCUCCUGAGAAGGCGCUUUAGGAUGGGAGGGGCGUGGACUGCUGGGGUAAGUUGAUAACAAGCAGGGGUAACUGGCAUGUCAGCGUGGGCUCCUCACAGCCUGGGACAUUCUGCCUGCCUCUGUGCCCACCCAGCCUUCUUAUAAUCACCCGCCACUGUUAGUGACCGAGGCCGCAACACCGCACUGUACCCUUUAAAUCUCCAACAGGUCCGCUGGAGGAGGGGACGGGGAGGAGAAGAGGAAGGGGUGGGAGGAGAGCACGGGGAGAGGAGGAGGGA